rnacentral:lncRNA from 1 species
GGGGGAUAGAUAACAAUAAUCUCUAAAACAUUGUGGAUAGGAUAACAAAGUAAUGAAUAACAAUAAGUAAGGUUUUUGAGGAAACGCUUCUCAAAUUUUAGGAGGAAUAAUAUGGUUUAGGUUAAUAGCAGAUAUUAUUAUUUUCAAGUUGCAUGAAUUGAAAUAAUUUAUGCCCAUCUCAAAAAAAAAAAAAAAAAAAGAAAAGUUUAUUUAACUGCACAUAAUUUUGCCUGCUGCCAUAGUAACUUAUGACAAUAAGAUAAAAAUAUAGGAAAGUGAAUUUCUGUUUUGUUAAUGUCAGUAUUUUCAGUCAAAUUAUUAAUGUCGAGAUUCUUAGUGUUUCUAUUGCCUAACUACUAACAGAAAAAAGUUGUAAAAUCAGGCCAAUAUAACAAAAUUUGUUACAGGCUGUAAAGCCACUGAGUGAGAAAAGUGUAAAACUAUUGUACACAACAGCAAAUCUCUUGCAAGUUUUCUGUCAACAGAAGAUUGGCUAGUAUCUCUUUCUGUCAAUACAUUUGGAAAAAAAACAACCACCCCCCAACAACACAGAAAACAAAACAAAAAACAAACAAAAAACCAACACCUCAUAUGUGAGGAAUAAAACCCUCACCUUAAGUGAAAAAAGUGAUGGUUUUAGUUACACUUGAGUGACUUUGCAAUUAGUCAGUAGCGGCAGAAAUCUGAUACAUUUGCAUACAGAUAUCACUGGUAGAGUGCCACGCUUCUCUGAAAAUCACAUUUUGAUUUAUUGAUUGGCCAAGUACCACCUGGUGCCUCAGCAAUGCCAGACGAGUCCCAUGUAAAUCAACACAUCCCCAAGUUCCUUGAUUGGAGUUAUAGUAAGGCAAAUGGUAAUCUCCUGGGCUGAAUGCCUGCAUUUGAAAAAGCAUUUCUUUCCAUGAUUUGCAGUUUGUCAUUAAUAGCAUGUACCAGGAGCUGCAACUGAAGUUCUCAAGUCUUCAUGAAGAUGCCUGUGCUUGCUCAGAUCUCCCAGUGCCAUGUCAAACCAGUCUCCUUGUUAAAAUUUGGUGGUUCUCAGCCUAUUGUGGUCAAAACGAGCAGCAGUUUCCAGAGAAGAGUCAAGACCCCACAUUGAGCUGAGCCUGGAUAAGUGGGAUUAUCAGCCUGCACUUUCCAUUGUUGAAGUAUAUGGGAUUCACUGCCUGACCCAAAAGGAAUGGCUAGAAAUGGGGUCAGAGACAAAAGAGAAAAGUGAGGUACUGCUAAUCUGCAAUAUUCAUAAACAACUUUGAGGCCACAUUCUGGAAUGGUGUAGUGAUUUCAUCUCAUUGCCCUGCACUUUGUCACCUUGAAGACAGGCAUGGAAAGGGUGGAAACAGGCAGAGAUGAGCAGCCAGGAGCUUAUUUUCUAUACCAACAGAAAUAGCUAUAGCUGCAAAAAUGCUAAAUCCAGCACUUGUUCCUAAGCACCUCUGGCUGGAACCAACAACUUUGGCCUUAACUGUAGAGCUGGACUGCCUCCAGGUUUACUGCCUCUCCAAGCAGCAUGAAUAGAGGGCAGUGGAGAUCCCAUUAAGGCCCCUGAUUUCUAUAACAAGAGUAGCAACCUGCUCAGCUGAACUGAUGAAUUCUGACAGAGCUGACAGCACCUUUGAGGGAGGAGUGUGCACCACUGCCUUAUACAUCCUCGUUAAGUACAGAAUCUGUAUUACGGCUAUAUUGCAUUUAGUCACUGCUAGAAGCCAAUGGAGUGUAAUAAGA